CGGGUUGUAAAGCUCUUUCGGUUGGGGAGAAGGGUUAUGUGUUGAAUAGGCAUGUAAUUUGAUUGUACCAACAUAAGAAGCACCGGCAAACUUCGUGC
rnacentral:rRNA from 1 species